AUGCCGGACGCGACGGCGGCGGUGGGGGUUGAGCCGGCCGGAUCCAGCGGCAAGAACGCGUGUGCUCUGGGCUCCGCUGAAGAUCGGAUGGAUGAUGAUUUUGCUGCAGCCGAAGCUGAGCAGCUUGAAGAGGUCCUCCGACUCUCGGCUCAGUCCACGACGAUGGCAUGUGCGGUUUGCAGACUGAUGACAGUAUCACUGGAAGCAUCAUGGAAACCUGAGAAUUGUGAUCAUGUCAUCUGUAUUGACUGCUUCGCCAAAUACACAACAGAGACAGUGGCCACAGAGAUGCCAAAGUGCCCGGUUGCUUCUUGCGAAUAUCAUGUCGAUCCAGAGAUACAUGAAUUUAUGGAAGUAGACGAUGAUGGCAGCCUGAUCGCAAUCAAAGAGAUCGAUGAUGGCAAAGGGAAGGAACAUCCCUAUAAUGGGCUGCAAGAAUCCGGCCAAGGUUCCGGCCGCGGCACGAUGAUGUGUGCAGUUUGCAGGCUGAUGAUCGUAUCGCUGGAAGCGUCGUGGAAACCUGAAAACUGUGAUCAUAUCAUCUGCAUCACCUGCUUUGCCAGAUACACAACCGAGAGUACGGCCACCGAGAUGCCCAAGUGUCCGAUUACUUCUUGCGAUUCUCUGUUGAAGCCAGACACACCACAAGUGAUCAAUACGGACGAUGAUGGUGAUGCUGGCAGCUCGUCAUCGACCAGAGUGGUAGACAAAGGCAAGCAACCGUGCAACGCCGUGCUGCAAGAGCUCGGCCAAUGUUCCAGCGGCACGACGAUUGCCAACGACUUCUACUGCACCAUCUGCAUGGAGGAAGUGCCUGCCAUAGAAUGCUUCCCGGUGGACGGGUGCACGCACGCGUUCUGCGUCAGCUGCGUGAGGCAGUACAUUGCGGCGAAGGUGGAAGAGAACGUGCUGCCCAUCAGGUGCCCCGACCCGGGCUGCAAGGACGGCACGCUGCAGCCGGAGGCCUGCCGGGACGUGAUCCCGACUCCGCUGUUCCAGCGGUGGGGCGCCGCGCUCUGUGACAUGGCGCUCGAGGGGAUCAAGUUCUACUGCCCCUUCAACGACUGCUCGACGCUGCUGGUCGACGACCACCAGGACGGGGACGCGGUGAUAAGGGACGUGGAGUGCCCCCACUGCUCCCGCAUCUUCUGCGCGCAGUGCAAGGUGCCGUGGCACGACGGCGUGGACUGCGCCGAGUUCCAGCGGCUCGGCAAGGACGAGCGCGGGCGGGAGGACCUGCUGCUGAGGAAGGUCGCGCAGGAGAGCAAGUGGCGGAGGUGCGCCAAGUGCAAGAUGUACGUCGAGAGGGUGGAAGGCUGCGUGUACAUUGUCUGCAGGUGCGGCCACCACUUCUGCUACCUGUGCGGCUCCGCGAUGGUGAAGGGCAACCAUCGUUGCAGCAAGUGCAAGCGUACGUGGUGA
rnacentral:rRNA from 1 species